rnacentral:rRNA from 1 species
AUUGAACGCUGGCGGCAGGCCUAACACAUGCAAGUCGAGCGGAUGAAGGGAGCUUGCUCCUGGAUUCAGCGGCGGACGGGUGAGUAAUGCCUAGGAAUCUGCCUGGUAGUGGGGGAUAACGUCCGGAAACGGGCGCUAAUACCGCAUACGUCCUGAGGGAGAAAGUGGGGGAUCUUCGGACCUCACGCUAUCAGAUGAGCCUAGGUCGGAUUAGCUAGUUGGUGGGGUAAAGGCCUACCAAGGCGACGAUCCGUAACUGGUCUGAGAGGAUGAUCGGUCACACUGGAACUGAGACACGGUCCAGACUCCUACGGGAGGCAGCAGUGGGGAAUAUUGGACAAUGGGCGAAAGCCUGAUCCAGCCAUGCCGCGUGUGUGAAGAAGGUCUUCGGAUUGUAAAGCACUUUAAGUUGGGAGGAAGGGCAGUAAGUUAAUACCUUGCUGUUUUGACGUUACCAACAGAAUAAGCACCGGCUAACUUCGUGCCAGCAGCCGCGGUAAUACGAAGGGUGCAAGCGUUAAUCGGAAUUACUGGGCGUAAAGCGCGCGUAGGUGGUUCAGCAAGUUGGAUGUGAAAUCCCCGGGCUCAACCUGGGAACUGCAUCCAAAACUACUGAGCUAGAGUACGGUAGAGGGUGGUGGAAUUUCCUGUGUAGCGGUGAAAUGCGUAGAUAUAGGAAGGAACACCAGUGGCGAAGGCGACCACCUGGACUGAUACUGACACUGAGGUGCGAAAGCGUGGGGAGCAAACAGGAUUAGAUACCCUGGUAGUCCACGCCGUAAACGAUGUCGACUAGCCGUUGGGAUCCUUGAGAUCUUAGUGGCGCAGCUAACGCGAUAAGUC